rnacentral:rRNA from 1 species
GACGAACGCUGGCGGCGUGCUUAACACAUGCAAGUCGAACGGAAAGGCCCUGCUUUUGUGGGGUGCUCGAGUGGCGAACGGGUGAGUAACACGUGAGUAACCUGCCCUUGACUUUGGGAUAACUUCAGGAAACUGGGGCUAAUACCGGAUAGGAGCUCCUGCUGCAUGGUGGGGGUUGGAAAGUUUCGGCGGUUGGGGAUGGACUCGCGGCUUAUCAGCUUGUUGGUGGGGUAGUGGCUUACCAAGGCUUUGACGGGUAGCCGGCCUGAGAGGGUGACCGGCCACCUUGGGACUGCGAUACGGCCCAGACUCCUACGGGAGGCAGCAGUGGGGAAUAUGGCACAAUGGGCGGAAGCCUGAUGCAGCAACGCCGCGUGCGGGAUGACGGCCUUCGGGUUGUAAACCGCUUUCGCCUGUGACGAAGCGUGAGUGACGGUAAUGGGUAAAGAAGCACCGGCUAACUACGUG